rnacentral:lncRNA from 1 species
AAUAUGUGUUUAUAAAAAGAUCAGUGAAAGUAUUGUCACGAUCCUCAUAUUAUCACGGUCCUCAUAUUGUAUCUCUAUUUUAUUUUUAUUUUUAUUUUUUUUUCUUUCAAGUGAGUUUAUGGAUUGAUGCUAAAGAUUGUGGUGAAGGAAGCUCUAUAUGAAAUAAUCGGUUGAUUCUACUCAUAAAGAUGCUAAUUUGAACUUUUCUAUUUAUUGAUGUUUGGAGUUAAUUCUUUUAAAAAGAAAGAUCAGUCUGAAAUUAUUUAAUUGAU